rnacentral:tRNA from 2 species
GCAUUGGUGGUUCAGUGGUAGAAUACUCGCUUGCAACGCAGGAGACCCGGGUCCGAUUCCUGGCCAAUGCA